rfam:Otolemur garnettii contig000348, whole genome shotgun sequence.
CCUUUGGCUGUUUUAGCAGCCACAUUUUGACAUAGUAGAGAAAAUU